GACGAACGCUGGCGGCGUGCUUAACACAUGCAAGUCGAACGGAAAGGCCCUGCUUUUGUGGGGUGCUCGAGUGGCGAACGGGUGAGUAACACGUGAGUAACCUGCCCUUGACUUUGGGAUAACUUCAGGAAACUGGGGCUAAUACCGGAUAGGAGCUCCUGCUGCAUGGUGGGGGUUGGAAAGUUUCGGCGGUUGGGGAUGGACUCGCGGCUUAUCAGCUUGUUGGUGGGGUAGUGGCUUACCAAGGCUUUGACGGGUAGCCGGCCUGAGAGGGUGACCGGCCACAUUGGGAAGGAGAUACGGCACAGACUCCUACGGGAGGCAGCAGUGGGGAAUAUUGCACAAUGGGCGGAAGCCUGAUGAAGCAACGCCGCGUGCGGGAUGACGGCCUUCGGGUUGUAAACCGCUUUCGCCUGUGACGAAGCGUGAGUGACGGGAAUGGGUAAAGAAGCACCGGCUAACUACGU
rnacentral:rRNA from 1 species